CCGACCUUAGCUCAGUUGGUAGAGCGGAGGACUGUAGUAGGGAAAAAUCCUUGAAAGCCAUCCUUAGGUCGCUGGUUCGAAUCCGGCAGGUCGGA
rnacentral:tRNA from 1 species